AAAGUAUUCUUAAGCUCACUCUUGGAUGGAAAAGCAAGGGAGUGUCAAUAGGUGCUUUGAAGUGACAGAAAAUACACGAGUGACAGUUGUGGGCACCUUCCAACGUUCUGAAAAGUCACUAAUUUCUACCAAACACCUCUUCCUGAGACAGAGCAUGAGCAGGGGAG